rnacentral:rRNA from 1 species
GAUGAACGCUAGCGGCGGGCUUAAUACAUGCAAGUCAAGGGGUAGCAAUACACCGGCGUACGGGUGCGUAACGCGUAUGGAACCUGCCCUUAUCUGGGGGAUAACUCGGGGAAACUCGAGCUAAUACCGCAUAAGAUAGUAGAAUGGCAUCAUUCAGCUAUUAAAGAUUUAUCGGAUAAGGAUGGCCAUGCGUAAGAUUAGAUAGUUGGUGGGGUAACGGCUCACCAAGUCUACGAUCUUUAGGGGCUCUGAGAGGAGAAUCCCCUACACUGGCACUGAGAUACGGGCCAGACUCCUACGGGAGGCAGCAGUAGGGAAUAUUGGGCAAUGGGCGGAAGCCUGACCCAGCCACGCCGCGUGCAGGAAGAAGGCCCUCUGGGUUGUAAACUGCUUUUGAUUGGGAAGAAAGCAUCUCAUGCGUGGGAUUUUGACGGUACCAAUCGAAUAAGCCACGGCUAACUACGUGCCAGCAGCCGCAGUAACAC